rnacentral:rRNA from 1 species
GAAAGUAAAGAAGGGCGCAUGGCGGAUGCCUUGGCUCUCGGAGGCGAUGAAGGACGUGAUAAGCUGCGAUAAGCUUUGGGGAGGUGCAAAUGACCUUUGAUCCAGAGAUUUCCGAAUGGGACAACCCAAUAUCUUGAAGAGGUAUUAUCUUACUAUGUAAGAGGCUAACGCAGGGAACUGAAACAUCUUAGUACCUGCAGGAAAAGAAAAUAAACAAUGAUUCCCCCAGUAGUGGCGAGCGAACGGGGAACAGCCCAAACCAUCCAUGUUACGGCAUGGGUGGGGUUGUAGGACUACGCCGUUGCAUGAAGACAUCAGAGAAGAACUUUCUGGAAAGAAAGACCAUAGAGCAUGACAGUUGCGUAUUCGAAUGUUGUCGAAGCAUAGUAGUAUCCUGAGUAGCGCGGAGCACGAGGAAUUCUGCGUGAAUCUGCCGGGACCAUCCGGUAAGGCUAAAUACUCCCGAGAGACCGAUAGCGAACCAGUACCGUGAGGGAAAGGUGAAAAGCACUUCGAACAGAAGAGUGAAAUAGUUCCUGAAACCGUGCGCCUACAAGCGGUCGGAGCUCGUUAAUGAGUGACGGCGUGCCUUUUGCAUAAUGAACCUACGAGUUGCCUUUGCCGGCAAGGUUAAGUGUGACGACACACGUAUCCGAAGCGAAAGCGAGUCUGAACAGGGCGUAUAGUCGGCAGUGGCAGACGCGAAACCAAGUGAUCUACCCUUGGCCAGGUUGAAGGCUGGGUAACACCAGCUGGAGGACCGCACCAAUAAGCGUUGAAAAGCUUCUGGAUGAGCUGAGGGUAGGGGUGAAAGGCUAAUCAAACUUGGAGAUAGCUCGUACUCCCCGAAAUGCAUUUAGGUGCAGCCUUGCGGGUUACUGAUGUGAGGUAGAGCGACUGAUAAGAUGCGAGGGCUUCACCGCCUAUCAAGUCUUGACAAACUCCGAAUGCGCAUCAGUUCUACCGCAGGAGUGAGGGCAUGGGUGCUAAGGUCCGUGCCCGAGAGGAGAAGAAUCCGGACCACCUGCUAAGGUCCCGAAAUGACAGCUAAGUUAAACUAACGAAGUCUGACUGCUAAGACAGCUAGGAUGUUGGCUUGGAAGCAGCCAUUCAUUUAAAGAGUGCGUAACAGCUCACUAGUCGAGGAGUCGGGCGUGGAUAAUAAUCGGGUAUCAAGUUGUCUACCGAAGCAGUGGGAUCAUUUAUAUGAUCGGUAGGGGAGCAUUCCAGUCAGCGUCGAAGGCGUACCGUGAGGUAUUCUGGAGCGUCUGGAAAAGCAAAUGUAGGUAUAAGUAACGAUAAAGGGGGCGGGAAACCCCCUCGCCGAAAGACUAAGGUUUCCUGAUCAACGCUAAUCGGAUCAGGGUCAGUCGGGUCCUAAGGCUCAGCCGAACGGCGAUGCCGAUGGCAGAAACGGUUAAUAUUCCGUUACUACCUUCAGGAGUGACGUGGAGACGCAGUAGUGACAGUGCCGCCAUCUGACGGAAUAGAUGGUUGAAGGGUGUAGGAGUCGAUCAUGGCAGGCAAAUCCACCAUGAGAUCCGAACCUGACAGUAUGCCGCGUCCUUCGGGACAAGGCAAUAGUGCGCGUAAGCAUGCUGCCGAGAAAAUCCGCUAAACUUAAUCCUGUAGGUACCCGUACCGCAAACGGACACACGUAGUCGGGAUGAAUAUUCUAAGGCGCUUGAGUGAUUCACGGUUAAGGAACUAGGCAAACUGACCCUGUAACUUCGGGAUAAAGGGUCCCUACCCUUUUAUGGGAGGGCGCAGAGAAUCGGUCCAGGCAACUGUUUAACAAAAACACAGGGCUGUGCCAAAUCGAAAGAUCCAGUAUACAGCCUGACACCUGCCCGGUGCUGGAAGGUUAAGAGGAGAUGUCAUCGAUAAGAGAAGCGUUGAAUUGAAGCCCCAGUAAACGGCGGCCGUAACUAUAACGGUCCUAAGGUAGCGAAAUUCCUUGUCGGGUAAGUUC